GUCGAACGCUGGCGGCGUGCCUAAUACAUGCAAGUUGAGCGCUGAAGGUUGGUACUUGUACCAACUGGAUGAGCAGCGAACGGGUGAGUAACGCGUGGGGAAUCUGCCUUUGAGCGGGGGACAACAUUUGGAAACGAAUGCUAAUACCGCAUAAAAACUUUAAACACAAGUUUUAAGUUUGAAAGAUGCAAUUGCAUCACUCAAAGAUGAUCCCGCGUUGUAUUAGCUAGUUGGUGAGGUAAAGGCUCACCAAGGCGAUGAUACAUAGCCGACCUGAGAGGGUGAUCGGCCACAUUGGGACUGAGACACGGCCCAAACUCCUACGGGAGGCAGCAGUAGGGAAUCUUCGGCAAUGGACGAAAGUCUGACCGAGCAACGCCGCGUGGGUGAAGAAGGUUUUCGGAUCGUAAAACUCUGUUGGUAGAGAAGAACGUUGGUGGGAGUGGAAAGCUCAUCAAGUGACGGUAACUUCCCAGAAAGGGACGGCUAACUACAUG
rnacentral:rRNA from 1 species